GACAGAGGGUGCGAACGUUGCUCGGAAUCACUGGGCGUAAAGCGCGUGUAGGCGGGCGACUAAGUCAGGUGUGAAAUCCCUGGGCUCAACCCAGGAACUGCAUCUGAAACUGGUUGCCUUGAGUGUCGGAGAGGGAAGCGGAAUUCCUGGUGUAGAGGUGAAAUUCGUAGAUAUCAGGAGGAACACCGGUGGCGAAGGCGGCUUCCUGGACGACUACUGACGCUGAGACGCGAAAGCGUGGGGAGCAAAC
rnacentral:rRNA from 1 species